rnacentral:rRNA from 1 species
UGGGGAAUAUUGCACAAUGGAGGGAACUCUGAUGCAGCAACGCCGCGUGCGGGAUGACGGCCUUCGGGUUGUAAACCGCUUUCAGCCAUGACGAAGCUUUUGUGACGGUAGUGGUAGAAGAAGCACCGGCUAACUACGUGCCAGCAGCCGCGGUGAUACGUAGGGUGCGAGCGUUGUCCGGAAUUAUUGGGCGUAAAGAGCUUGUAGGCGGUUUGUCGCGUCGAUAGUGUAAACACGCAGCUUAACUGUGUGCCUGCUGUCGAUACGGGCUGACUAGAGGAGGGUAGGGGAGAAUGGAAUUCCCGGUGGAGCGGUGGAAUGCGCAGAUAUCGGGAGGAACACCAGUGGCGAAGGCGGUUCUCUGGACCUUUCCUGACGCUGAGAAGCGAAAGCGUCGGUAGCAAACAGG